CUGUGGUCCCAGCUACUCGGGAGGCUGAGGCAGGAGAAUUGCUUGGACCUAGGAGGUGGAGGUUGCAGUGAGCUGAGAUCGCACCACUGCACUCCAGCCUGGGUGACAGAGCAGACUCCACCUCAAAAAAGAAAAAACAAAACAAAACAGUAUUUCCCACUGGUCAGUUUUGCAUAGGCAUCUAUUUCAGGCAGGGUUUUUUUCUUUUUUUUGAGAUGGAGUUUUGCUCUUGUUGCCCAGGCUGGGGUGCAAUGGCCCGAUCUCGGCUCACCGCAACCUCCACCUCCCAGGUUCAAGCGAUUCUCCUGCCUCAGCCUCCCGAGUAGCUGGGAUUACAGGCAUGCGUCACCACACCAGGCUAAUUUUGUAUUUUUAGUAGAGAUGGGGUUUCUCCAUGUUGGUCAGGCUGGUCUCAAACUCCUGACCGCAGGUGAUCCACCUGCCUCGGCCUCCCAAAGUGCUGGGAUUACAGGCAUGAGCCACCGCGCCCGGCUCAGGCAGGGUUCUUUAUAAAAACAGCCUGAUGCCUGAAGGACACUCUCUGGUUGUAAUAUUUGUUUCAUCCAUGAAGUGUUUAAAUAUUGCAACUGACUUGCGAUUAGCCACCAAAACAGGCCCUUUUAGAUGCAGUGCCUCUCCGACCAAGUAUUGGAUGAUUCAUACGUAAUGGACUAUGAUCAUUUUCUGUCCAUGUUUUCUAUUACUAUAUGCUGGUUUUUUUGGAGCAAUAAGAUUACUUUUUUUCUGUUCUAUUUUGAGCGAAUCCUUUACAGUUUUUGAUAAGAACUGUGACAUUUGUUCUUUGUUGAUAAAACUCCUGAAAAUAACUCACAAGGCCAGUGCUGCACUCUGGCACAUGUAGGUUGUUUUGAGGGUUUGUUGGUUGGUUGGUUGGCUGGUUGAUUGGUUGGUUGGUUUAGAACACUAAUGUACUUGUUAUGAACCAAACUCUGGUCUUACAGUCUUAAAUUCCACCUCAUGGGGCUGUUUUCUCUGUUAGCAAUGAAACCUGGGCCAGGUGUAGUGGCUCACACCUAUAAUCCUGGCACUUUGGGAGGCUGAGGUGGGAGGAUUACUGGAUCCCAGGAGUUUGAGACCAGCCUGGGCAACAUAGUGAGACCCUGGUUUCUAUAAAUAAAUAAGAUAAUCAAACCAGAAAGCAGGCAUUUUAGUAACAGCCUGUUGAAUUUUAAGGUGAAUCAAGGUAAUUUUGCAGAAUGCGUUCUUGCACCGAAAUGUCCCUGACCACAUAUCAGUGGUAUAGACUGAACAGUGUGCUUCAGGGUCAUGUGCUGAGUGCACUGAUCACUCUGCUGUGGCCCAGGGCAUCUGUACCUGUUGGACAAGAUUAUGAUAAUUCAGAAGUGAAGUAAAAUGCCUCCCUCUGAUGGCAAAAAGCCAACCUGUUUGCAAAAUCACCCUUAUUGAAGGGUGGCAUGGCUGUGGUCCCUCCCUCCUGUUACUUGCAUCACCAACCAAACUAAACCAAACCAUACCUGGGCCUGUUCAGCUGGACUUGAAAUCAGUUUCCUUUUUCUCUCCCCUUUGCAGCACUUUUCAGUUUCCAGCUUUGUCAUUCUGUGGCCUUUGCUGUGACAAUGCUGGGAAGGGUUAGAAAUCCUGUCACCUCCAUCCACAAAGGCACAGUUCCACGCCCUGUGAUAAGAUAUCCCCUCUUCUCUCCCAGACUGUCUCCUUAAGCCUUUCAAACUGAGCCCCUUGCUGUUGGGGUAAUCACCCUUAAGGCCGCCUUGAUGCCCCUCUCUCCAAUCAAGUCCAAUAGUAGCAUUAACUGAGAAGCACUACACCUGACUGGCUUCACUGAAGCUUAAGUGGUUGAGGAUGAAUCUUCGGUGUAAAAUCUUUUACUAUAAGGAUAUAUUUUAAAUAUUUCAUAUCCCAUCAAGUUGGAGGUUAAUUUUAUCCAUCACAAUGAGUCAUGAUUUGUUGCACCCAAAAGGAGCAGAAACACAGGUGAUGAGAUAUGGGAGGUGGCACCAUGGUGCUUUGGAGGCGUUGGUAAGAUGUGACCCUCUGUUGCCUAUGCCCAUAAACCAGUGGUGGGAGUGGCCAUGGAGUAGAUGGCAGGGGCUUGUUGAAGGGAUUGAAAGCUCUCCUAGGCUAGGCAUGGUGGCUCACACCUGUAAUCCUAGCACUUUGGGAGGCUGAGAUGGGAGGAUCACUUGAGGUUGGGCCAGCCUAGCCAACAUGAUAAAACCCCGUCUCGACUAAAAAUACAAAAAUUAGCCAGGUGUGGUGGUACACGCCUGUAAUCCCAGCUACUCGGGAGGCUGGGGCAGGAGAAUCGCUUGAACCCAGGAGGCAGAGGUUGCAGUGAGCUAGGAUCACGCCACUGCACUCCAGCCUGAGCGACAGAGUGAGACUCUGUCUCAAAAAAAAAAAAGGCUCUCCAAAGUGUCAUGUUCAGCACCAAAAGGGAAUAGGCACAGGGUGACCCCAGAAGUUCAUUUGUGACACUUAAAUCUCCAGAUAUUUAUCCCACGUGGGUCUGAUGCGGGCUCAGCACUAAAUUAACUGUAUGUGGAAAGUGUCAAUUGCAGAGCCUUCUGUAUCGAUGAGGCUUCCGCCACUUGUCCAUGCUUAGCCCCCUUGCCUCUUCCUUGGGAGCAUGCUUUCUAUUCCUAUGUGAAACAGCCUGACAUAAGUGAAAGGAUUUGGGCUCAAGCAAACAUGAGAUGUGGGUUCAUAUCUUGGCACCACUCCUGAUAGCUGUGUGAUCAUGGCAAACCUCGUUUUCAUCGUCUGUCAGGUGGAGAUGAAGAGAAAUGGUGCAUGUAAAGUGCUCAGCAUCUGUGCUUAGCAGGCCAUAGUCUCCCUGCCUCCUUUUUCUUGAGUAAGCCUUUAGAACUUUCUGACUCCUCUAGAGAAGGCAGAGAAACGAAUAUAUUUUGGGUGCCAUUUGGAGUCUGGGUCUUUUGUUAAAAUUGUCCUGUAUUAUGUUGAAAAGUGUCGGUUACCCCCAGGCUCUGGGGGCAUCUGUGAUCAUAGAAUACUGCCAUGCUUAUUUUGCCUUUCUAUGUUGAGAUUAAUUCACUGACGCCUCAUUUUCCACGUGCAUCUGUCAUAGUCUGGGUACCAGAUUGUAUUUAGAGAAUGGCUCUUGCCACUGUUAUGUACACACAGAUCGUGUGUGUAAACAAGCAAAUUAAAGUAAACUGAGAUAAUGAAAUCCCA
rnacentral:lncRNA from 1 species